GUGCCAGCAGCCGCGGUAAUACCAGCACCCCGAGUGGUCGGGACGAUUAUUGGGCCUAAAGCAUCCGUAGCCGGUCCUGCAAGUCCUCCGUUAAAUCCACCCGCUCAACGGUUGGGCCGCGGGGGAUACUACAGGGCUAGGAGGCGGGAGAGGCAAGCGGUACUCGAUGGGUAGGGGUAAAAUCCACUGAUCCAUUGAAGACCACCAGUGGCGAAGGCGGCUUGCCAGAACGCGCUCGACGGUGAGGGAUGAAAGCUGGGGGAGCAAACCGGAUUAGAUACCCCCGUAGUCC
rnacentral:rRNA from 1 species